UACGUAGGGACCGAGCGUUGUCCGGAAUCAUUGGGCGUAAAGAGCGUGUAGGCGGCUUGCUAAGUCUUGCGUGAAAUCUCGGGGCUCAACCCCGAGCGGUCGUGGGAACUGGCAGGCUAGAGUGCGGGAGAGGAGAAUGGAAUUCCUGGUGUAGCGGUGAAAUGCGUAGAUAUCUGGAGGAAUACCGGUGGCGAAGGCGGCAUCCUGGACCGGCAUUGACGCUGAUGAGCGAAAGCUAGGGGAGCAAACGGG
rnacentral:rRNA from 1 species